AUUGAACGCUGGCGGCAGGCUUAACACAUGCAAGUCGAGCGGAGAUGAGGUGCUUGCACCUUAUCUUAGCGGCGGACGGGUGAGUAAUGCUUAGGAAUCUGCCUAUUAGUGGGGGACAACAUUCCGAAAGGAAUGCUAAUACCGCAUACGUCCUACGGGAGAAAGCAGGGGAUCUUCGGACCUUGCGCUAAUAGAUGAGCCUAAGUCGGAUUAGCUAGUUGGUGGGGUAAAGGCCUACCAAGGCGACGAUCUGUAGCGGGUCUGAGAGGAUGAUCCGCCAAGCUGGGACUGAGACACGGCCCAGACUCCUACGGGAGGAAGCAGUGGGGAAUGUUGGACAAUGGGGGGAACCCUGAUCCAGCCAUGCCGCGUGUAUGAAGAAGGCCUUAUGGUUGUAAAGCACUUUAAGCGAGGAGGAAGCUACUGAGACUAAUACUCUUGGAUAGUGGACGUUACUCGCAGAAUAAGCACCGGCUAACUCUGUGCCAGCCGCCGCAGUAAGAC
rnacentral:rRNA from 1 species